rnacentral:lncRNA from 1 species
CACAUAUUGCAAUUGAAAGAGGAAUGGUGGGAGCUCUUGCAGGAGGAAAAUUAAGCUGUGAACUGGAAUUCCAUCAGGCUGUCUACUGUGAAGCCCUGUGGCUUUAGCAAAGGUGCAACAGUGGUCAGAAAUGACACUCAGAAGAGAACGGAUGUUUUGGCAUCUAAACACCAAGUAAGAAAUUCCCAGACGCACUGGAUAUCUGGUCAGCACCCAGCCAGGCUGACGCUAGCUUUCACCUCUCCGGAGCUGUAUUCUCUAGUUUAGGGGAAGGAUUGUCUUUUGGACCUAAACAUCAAAUAACAUAUAAUUCAGAGCAGACUUCCAGCUCCUGUGAAAGAGAGAAGGUGCUUUUGCUUCACACAACCUUUGCAUCUAAGGAAAUGGUUGGAAACUGUCAAAAUAUGAAGAAACUCCAAGAAACAAAUAGGGCACCCUACAGGAGUCAUUAGUCUAUCACUGACCUUAUGUUCUUUUAAC